rnacentral:rRNA from 1 species
GAUGAACGCUGGCGGCGUGCCUAAUACAUGCAAGUCGAGCGAACGGACGAGAAGCUUGCUUCUCUGAUGUUAGCGGCGGACGGGUGAGUAACACGUGGAUAACCUACCUAUAAGACUGGGAUAACUUCGGGAAACCGGAGCUAAUACCGGAUAAUAUUUUGAACCGCAUGGUUCAAAAGUGAAAGACGGUCUUGCUGUCACUUAUAGAUGGAUCCGCGCUGCAUUAGCUAGUUGGUAAGGUAACGGCUUACCAAGGCAACGAUGCAUAGCCGACCUGAGAGGGUGAUCGGCCACACUGGAACUGAGACACGGUCCAGACUCCUACGGGAGGCAGCAGUAGGGAAUCUUCCGCAAUGGGCGAAAGCCUGACGGAGCAACGCCGCGUGAGUGAUGAAGGUCUUCGGAUCGUAAAACUCUGUUAUUAGGGAAGAACAUAUGUGUAAGUAACUGUGCGCAUCUUGACGGUACCUAAUCAGAAAGCCGCGGCUAACUACGUG